rnacentral:lncRNA from 1 species
AAAUGAUCUCAGUGCAAUCCUUGCAAAUGCAUCGGAACAGCAUUUCAGAUACAUUUGUCAUCGGGGAUUAAAGUCCGUGCUAUCCAUUAACACAGACGUACCCUUGACCCAACACUGUGUCUGCAGUAAAACUCCCUGUAACAGAACAGUCACAAUCCCAGUAGACUGCAUGCAUUCAUGGAGUACUGCAGCUACUGCAUACACAUUCUACUCCAACAAUAAUCCAAGAAGGGAAGUGGCACAGGUUAUCUGCAUUGGCAUGAGGCAUUUGGGGUGUCCUUCAGACUCCUUUUUCACAGCAAGCCCUUUUUCCUGGGACCACCUUUCUGAUGUUUCCUUACCUAUCACAAGGAAUGUGCAUGAAUUGCCGAGGUGAGUAUCUCCAGAGAGGACGCCUUUAACACCGGAGCGGAGGGAAGCACAGCGUCCCGGAGCCUCAGUUCGGAGCCGCAAGAACCACCGAGGGAGCCUCAAGUCCUCGACAGGACUUGCCCAGGAGCCGGCAGCUCAGCUGACGCGAGCAGCUGACUCACAGGGGGCGGUGCCAGGAGUGGCGGCACCAGCCCUCAGUGGGGAAAAACCCAUCCCAGGGAGCGCGAGCGACCGGGAGCGCGGCGACCAGGGCGGGCAAACAGGGCGUGGCACGUCAGUCAGGGCGUGGCGCGGCAGUUGGCGCAGGCAGGGCGAGCGGGCAGCGAGCGGGAUGGUAAGCACUCGCCUCAGGACCCGGGCCCGCUCUGGGAGCUCUGCCCCGGCGGUGGCCAGCCUAGGCACCCAGACAGAGCCGAUGAGAGGGGAGGCUGCGGCUCAGAGCUCGGAGUGUAGAAAGUGCCUCGACUGGUCUCUUGAGGCGAGGGUGCACAAUGGACAGGGCUGCACUCGGUGCGCCCUGGUGGAGGUCCUCCUGCAGCAGGUGGCUGAGCUGCGGGAGGCUGUUGGAGAGCUAAAAGAUGCCAA